rnacentral:rRNA from 1 species
AUUGAACGCUGGCGGCAGGCCUAACACAUGCAAGUCGAACGAGUGGCGGACGGGUGAGUAAUGUCUGGGAAACUGCCUGAUGGAGGGGGAUAACUACUGGAAACGGUAGCUAAUACCGCAUACCAUCAGAUGUGCCCAGAUGGGAUUAGCUUGUUGGUGGGGGAACGGCUCACAAAGGCGACGAUCCCUAGCUGGUCUUAGAGGAUGACCAGCCACAAUGGAACUGAGACAAGGUCCAGAAUCAUUCGGGAGGCAGCAGUGGGGAAGAUUGCACAAGGGGCGAAAGUCUGAUGCAGCCAUUCCGCGUGUAUGAUGAAGGCCUGCGGGUUGUAAAGUACUUGCAGCGGGGAGGCGUUACCCGCAGAAGAAGCACCGGCUAACUCCGUGCCAGCAGCCGCGGUAAUUC